AGAGUUUGAUCCUGGCUCAGGAUAAACGCUGGCGGCGUGCCUAACACAUGCAAGUCGAACGCGCUGCGCAAGCAGCGAGUGGCGGACGGGUGAGGAACACGUGGGUUAUCUACCUUGAGGUGAGGAAUACCGGCGAGAAAUCGCCGACAAUACCGCAUAGGUUUGCUAAGCAAACAAAGUCGCAAGACGCCACAAGAUGA
rnacentral:rRNA from 1 species